GGCACUGAUGUAAUAGGAUGAGACAUAGUGACCUUUGUAUGGUUGCCUUAUUUGCUACACAGACGGCAAUCAAGCAACUUUAAACAGCCCUGAGACUUUGUUCCUGACCUCUUCUGAACAUUUUUCAUUUAAUAACAUCAGAUGGCAUCUCUGAAUGGACGUGCUGAGACAUAGGACUCAGGCAGUAAUGAGAUGUCCCUUUGACCAUGCUAAACACUGCCUUUCCUUGAUACUUGCAGUCUAUAAUUAUGUCUAUAUGUAACUAAGUGUUCCUGAUGCUGGACACCGGAGGAACUUCAGAAAAGGCACUAAUUUUGAGAACUGUGAUAAGGUAACCAUCUUUAUUAAUCUCCAUCAUUUGACUGGCACACAUUUCAAUUUUUAGAUGAUUUUUCUCCAGUACUUGAAGACUCUGGAAUGUAAGUGUAAAGUAUGCAUGCAUUAUGCAGUAACAUCAAGGCAGAAUUAGACUGUACUUUAAGACAAGAUAUAGUAUCUGUUGCUCCUGUGAAACAGACUUGAUUAAAUUCCCUACGGAGACAAAGGUUCAAAAGUUCCUAGUUUAAUAAAACAUGGCAGAAAAUGUGGGAAAUAGCUGAGGAUGUGAAGCUUUCACAAUGUGAAUGGAUCUAUUCCUGAAAUAAAUGCAUUUUUUCUGUAAACAGCUAUUCUCCAUAAAAAUACAUUUUUCUUAAAUAACUCAGUGUUUGGUCUGUUCACAUAACGUGUGUGAAGUAUCUUACCCUGCCCUAGGUAUAGACCUGCAUACUCUUUGAAGCAGGAACAGAAAUUUCAAUAAAACCUGUUGCAAACUAGAAAUUCUGAGGUCUUCCACUAAUUAAAAUAUUUCUUUCCUGAAGGUCUGACCUAUCCGCUCUUAAGUUUUUCACAGAUAAAGUUUGGGAAAAGAUCUGAACAAAUGAUAGUUUGGGAAAAUGAUGGGAGAUAGUUAUCAGAUUUCAGCCUACUUUUGUAUGAGCAUUCAAUAGUGUUCAUAACAAAUAAAAAGCAGUUGGCUCCAGCAUACAUGAAAACCAUGGAGGACAACAUACUGCUCAGAGGCAGUACUGGCAAUUCUUAUGUUACAAUAGCUGGAUGCAUGGGCUGAAGAAGAUGAGAAGAAAUUUGAGUUUUCAACUACCAUAACGGGA